rnacentral:lncRNA from 1 species
UGGGGACCUCAAAGCUUAAGGCUGGUAGUAUAUAUAAUUACACUUGGGUUUAGAUGUCGAUUGCAAGAAGUGCACGUUUAAAGUCAUUUACUACGAUUGAGAUAUGAGUAUGAAAAAUAGGGUUAACGCAGUUCCUUUUGGUAUAUAUAAAGGGUUUAGGUAACAAAGGAGGACAGCUGAGCAAACACCAUACUUGGUCGAGUGAAGCAAAAAUGACUGUUGAAUUUUUGUCGUCCAUGCGCGACACGCACUGCAUUUAUGUUUUUCAAAGCUUUGCAUGUGUGUUUCGCGCAUGAACGACGUAAAUUAACAAGUCAUUAAAUUAAAUUUAUGAUAUAUAUAUAUGGUGUUUAUUUGGGUUUAUGAAUAUAUAAUAGUUACUGAUUUAUUGAUUACAUGUUUUGUUUGCUAGACAAGAUCCAUCGUGGUUCAAAAGGGGCCGCUCCACCAGAAAUUGUAGCUGCGGGAAGAAGGGGUGCCCUGCUGCCUGCAUUGCUUGUAGGUACAACUUUUUUUUUGAAAUAUUGGUUUCCAACAUUUUGUUGAAGAUACUGAGCAUACACGAAACACUUCAGCGGGUAGACAUUGAAGAAUGUGAUCCCCAGAAGAGAUGGGCGGGCGAGGAAGUUGCUUAAUAUGGUAUUUGGUAGGUAUAAUUGUUUCUCUUUGAUCGCCGGUGGCGUUAGGAUAUCCGGUUGGGUAAUUUUGUAUUUUGCAACUUUGAAGAAUUUAAAAUGUGCCAUGAUUGAUGUCGAAAUGAUGAAAAUGAUAUUUUUGUUCUUUUUU